AAAGGCGCGCGAUACAGGGUGACAGCCCCGUACACAAAAGCGCAUGUGCUGUGAGCUCGAUGAGUAGGGCGGGACACGUGGUAUCCUGUCUGAAUAUGGGGGGACCAUCCUCCAAGGCUAAAUACUCCUGACUGACCGAUAGUGAACCAGUACCGUGAGGGAAAGGCGAAAAGAACCCCGGCGAGGGGAGUGAAAAAGAACCUGAAACCGUGUACGUACAAGCAGUGGGAGCACCCUUUGGGGUGUGACUGCGUACCUUUUGUAUAAUGGGUCAGCGACUUAUAUUCUGUAGCAAGGUUAACCGAAUAGG
rnacentral:rRNA from 1 species